UACGUAGGGUGCGAGCGUUAAUCGGAAUUACUGGGCGUAAAGCGUGCGCAGGCGGUUUUGUAAGCCAGAUGUGAAAUCCCCGGGCUUAACCUGGGAAUGGCAUUUGGGACUGCAAGGCUGGAGUGCGGCAGAGGAGACUGGAAUUCCUGGUGUAGCAGUGAAAUGCGUAGAUAUCAGGAGGAACAUCAGUUGCGAAGGCGGCUCUCUGGACCAGCACUGACACUGAGGCACGAAAGCGUGGGGAGCAAACAGG
rnacentral:rRNA from 1 species